GUGCGGUCAAAAAAUAAGGUGCUUUGAACGCUGGUGCUGCCCACGAUGCCAAAGGCGUAAAUAAAUCACUUUAGUGAUUGAUGAAUAAUCGCCAC
rnacentral:ncRNA from 1 species